AGUGAACGCUGGCGGUAGGCCUAACACAUGCGAGUCGAACGGCAGCACAGUAAGAGCUUGCUCUUACGGGUGGCGAGUGGCGGACGGGUGAGGAAUACAUCGGAAUCUACUUUUUCGUGGGGGAUAACGUAGGGAAACUUACGCUAAUACCGCAUACGACCUACGGGUGAAAGCAGGGGAUCUUCGGACCUUGCGCGAUUGAAUGAGCCGAUGUCGGAUUAGCUAGUUGGCGGGGUAAAGGCCCACCAAGGCGACGAUCCGUAGCUGGUCUGAGAGGAUGAUCAGCCACACUGGAACUGAGACACGGUCCAGACUCCUACGGGAGGCAGCAGUGGGGAAUAUUGGACAAUGGGCGCAAGCCUGAUCCAGCCAUACCGCGUGGGUGAAGAAGGCCUUCGGGUUGUAAAGCCCUUUUGUUGGGAAAGAAAAGCAGCAGGUUAAUACCCCGCUGUUCUGACGGUACCCAAAGAAUAAGCACCGGCUAACUUCGGG
rnacentral:rRNA from 1 species